rnacentral:rRNA from 1 species
GCCUACGGCCAUACCACCCCGAUCUCAUCUGAUCUCAGAAGCUAAGCAGCGUCGGGCUCAGUUAGUACUUGGAUGGAGAUCACCUGGGAAUCCCAGGUGUUGUAGGCU